rnacentral:rRNA from 1 species
GAUGAACGCUGGCGGCGUGCCUAAUACAUGCAAGUCGAGCGAACAGACGAGGAGUUUGCUCCUUUGACGUUAGCGGCGGACGGGUGAGUAACACGUGGAUAACCUACCUAUAAGACUGGGAUAACUUCGGGAAACCGGAGCUAAUACCGGAUAACAUGUUGAACCGCAUGGUUCAACAGUGAAAGACGGUCUUUCUGUCACUUAUAGAUGGAUCCGCGCUGCAUUAGCUAGUUGGUAAGGUAACGGCUUACCAAGGCAACGAAGCGUAGCCGACGUGAGAGGAGGAUCGGCAACACUGGAACUGGGACACAGACCAGGCUUCAGCGGGACGCAACAGUAGAAGACCAUACGAAAUGGGCGACAGUCUGACGGAGCAACAGCACGUAAGAGAAAAAAGUCUUCGGGUCGUGAAGCUAUGUUAUCAGGGAAGAAGGAGUGUGUCAGUCCUGAUGGUCAUCUUGACGGUACCUUAUCAGAAAGCCCCGGCUAACUACGUG